CAUUCCCGGGUGAAGUUUUCCAGCCGGAGUCAGGGUCAGAGGCAGCCUUUCCUACUGCGCAGGCUCAGUGCUGCUUACCCAUCAUGGAAGCAAUGUGGCUCCUGUGUGUGGCGGUGGCGGUCUUGGCAUGGGGCUUCCUCUGGGUUUGGGACUCCUCAGAACGAAUGAAGAGUCUGGAGCAGGGAGGACGGCUGGGAGCCGAAAGCCGGACCCUGCUGGUCAUAGCGCACCCUGACGAUGAAGCCAUGUUUUUUGCUCCCACAGUGCUAGGCUUGGCCCGCCUAAGGCACUGGGUGUACCUGCUUUGCUUCUCUGCAGGAAAUUACUACAAUCAAGGAGAGACUCGUAAGAAAGAACUUUUGCAGAGCUGUGAUGUUUUGGGGAUUCCACUCUCCAGUGUAAUGAUUAUUGACAACAGGGAUUUCCCAGAUGACCCAGGCAUGCAGUGGGACACAGAGCACGUGGCCAGAGUCCUCCUUCAGCACAUAGAAGUGAAUGGCAUCAAUCUGGUGGUGACUUUCGAUGCAGGGGGAGUAAGUGGCCACAGCAAUCACAUUGCUCUGUAUGCAGCUGUGAGGGCCCUGCACUCAGAAGGGAAGUUACCUAAAGGGUGCUCUGUGCUCACGCUUCAGUCUGUGAAUGUGCUGCGCAAGUACAUCUCCCUUCUGGAUCUGCCCUUGUCUCUGCUUCAUACGCAGGAUGUCCUCUUCGUGCUCAACAGCAAAGAAGUGGCACAGGCCAAGAAUGUGGGUCUAGGAAAAACUUGCUCUAUUUAACAGGACAGCUGUGAUUGAAGCAUCCAAGUACAGGUCACUGGGGUGGGCACUGUUUUAUACAGAGACGAUUGCAAGAACUCUGCCUCAAAGAGCUUACGAUCAAAUAUGUCAGCUCUCAGUCUUUUUGGAGAAGUAGGAAAUAGGAAGAUAAAUCUGAGACUUAAAAAAACACAAAACAUUCAAGAACUUGAUGUCUUAAAAUUGUCCUACGAACAAAAGCUCUCUGAAAGCUCUGGCUUGGAAACUACUCUCAGAAUCCAGCUAACGCUCCAGGGAAGUGGCCUGAGUCAGGGAAGCUAAGUGGUAAAGAGCACAGGCUGGUAGUCCUGUGAUUGAAGCCAGAAUGACCAGCUGUGUAACCAAAGGCAAGGUGCUGAACCUUUCUCUGCCUCAAUUCUCUCAUCUGCAAAAUGGGAAAUAAUAAUGAUCCCAACCUCAGAGAACUGAACAAGAUAAUACAUGAAGGUGCAUAUCAAAGAGUCUCACAUGCUCUGCUGGAUCACACAAAAGUUGGGAAGAGAAGGAUGUCAAUUAGACUACAUCAAAAUCUGGGCAGAGGGAGGACAAAGAGCUGCCUAAAGAAACUGGUAGCUGGAGCAAACUGCAGAGAUCAA